AUGCUUCUUAAUGAGGUCCACCUUGACGAGCUCACCAAGAACGAAAUCAUUUGGAAGCAUACGAGCAAUGGGCAGUACUCGGCGACUUCCGCAUACAAGGCGCAAUUCCUAGGGAUGAUCCUUUUGCCCAUGGAUAGGAUGGUUUGGAAGGUUUGGGCACCACCAAUAUAUUUUUUUGCUUGGCUAGCUCUUCAAGAUAGAAUCUGGACGACGGAUAGAUUGGCAAAGCGAGGAUGGCCAAAUUGUGAUGUUUGCCCUCUCUACAUGAGGGUGCAAGAGUGCGGGCCCCAUCUCUUCUACAAGUGCCACUACACCCGGCGCAUUUGGUCUUUGGUCAUUGGGAAAUUCCCCAUGCUCGGGCUCGACACUUCUGCUUGGCCCAUGUUUGACAGAGUUGAAGAUUGGUGGGCAAGCACUUGCGUCGAAGGAAAGCCAGAUCGACAAGCCAAGGCCUCCAUCACCAUGCUUCUCUCUUGGACAGUCUGGAACGAGCGGAACACAAGGGUUUUUAAGCAUAAGAGUGCCCCACCGCCAAUCUUGCUUUCUUCCAUCUCCACCGAGGCAAACCUUUGGGUCAUUGCCGGAGCAAAGAAAGUAUGGUCUUUUAUUGUGCGCGAGUAA
rnacentral:rRNA from 1 species